GCUUGCUCCCCGGGUGACGAGCGGCGGACGGGUGAGUAAUGUCUGGGAAACUGCCUGAUGGAGGGGGAUAACUACUGGAAACGGUAGCUAAUACCGCAUAACGUCGCAAGACCAAAGAGGGGGACCUUCGGGCCUCUUGCCAUCAGAUGUGCCCAGAUGGGAUUAGCUAGUAGGUGGGGUAAUGGCUCACCUAGGCGACGAUCCCUAGCUGGUCUGAGAGGAUGACCAGCCACACUGGAACUGAGACACGGUCCAGACUCCUACGGGAGGCAGCAGUGGGGAAUAUUGCACAAUGGGCGCAAGCCUGAUGCAGCCAUGCCGCGUGUGUGAAGAAGGCCUUCGGGUUGUAAAGCACUUUCAGCGAGGAGGAAGGUGGUGAGCUUAAUACGCUCAUCAAUUGACGUUACUCGCAGAAGAAGCACCGGCUAACUCCGUGCCAGCAGCCGCGGUAAUACGGAGGGUGCAAGCGUUAAUCGGAAUUACUGGGCGUAAAGCGCACGCAGGCGGUUUGUUAAGUCAGAUGUGAAAUCCCCGGGCUCAACCUGGGAACUGCAUUUGAAACUGGCAAGCUAGAGUCUCGUAGAGGGGGGUAGAAUUCCAGGUGUAGCGGUGAAAUGCGUAGAGAUCUGGGGAAUACCGGUGGCGAAGGCGGCCCCCUGGACGAAGACUGACGCUCAGUGCGAAAGCGUGGG
rnacentral:rRNA from 1 species